rnacentral:rRNA from 1 species
UACGUAGGGGGCAAGCGUUGUCCGGAAUCAUUGGGCGUAAAGAGCGUGUAGGCGGCCCGGUAAGUCCGCUGUGAAAGUCCAGGGCUCAACCCUGGAAUGCCGGUGGAAACUGUCGGGCUAGAGUCCGGAAGAGGCGAGUGGAAUUCCUGGUGUAGCGGUGAAAUGCGCAGAUAUCAGGAGGAACACCAAUGGCGAAGGCGGCAUCCUGGACCGGCAUUGACGCUGAUGAGCGAAAGCCAGGGGAGCAAACGGG